CACAUACUCUCUCCGUUCUGAAUUACUUGUCGCGGGUAUGGAUGUAUCUAGAUGUAUUUUUGUUAUAGAUACAACCAUUUCCGCGACGAGUAAUUUGGAACGGAGGGAGUAUAUA
rnacentral:pre_miRNA from 1 species